GCCCGCUUGGCUUAGUGGUACAGCGUCUCACUCGUAAUGAAAUGAGAAGAUCCCUCGUUCGAUUCGGGGAGUGGUACGCA